rnacentral:lncRNA from 1 species
ACACAGGCUGCCAUUAGCUCUGGCAGAAACCAUCACACAGACUUGCCGCCUUUGAGAGCUACAAAGAUGAGCACAGAGAUGAAACAGAAAGCAGUUUCCACUGGGCAGCACAAGGAUGGGAGCGGAGGCUGAAGAGCCGCAGCUGCCGAGUCAAGUCAGGCAGGCGGACUUCCGCUUAAGGAAGGUCUCGAGUUGGGCAGUGCCAAGACCUCAGCUCUACUCCAGCGCCAUCGGUGAAGGGGGACCCCCAGUCCGCUCUCCCUCCUGCCACCACGAGACCCUUUGCCCUUUUCUCUGCCUGCCUCCUGCAGCUUGAUCAGACAUCCACCUGAGAACCUUCCAGGAGGUGUGGAGUCCCUUCCCACUCCUGGGCCCAGUGGAGUCCCAGCUUCGACCACUGUCAGGUGCAUGAGGGAGUGACAGUGAUGGUCAGCUGGCAAGAGAGGCACUGGGGUUUCUGGGAGAAACCUCCUUGCAGAGGAAGCUGGAUGGGGCCUGGCUCAGUGGUGGGCCCACCCAGACCCAAUCAUCUUGCAGUGCCCCCAGCACUCGCACAGCAGGUCUUCAGUAUUUGCUGACUGACUCAAUGACUGACAGAUUCCAGGAGCAAAGUGGGAAGGUGGGAUGGAGGAUGCGACUGGGACACAAACCUCCUCAUGGUUUCCUUCCAGGUAACACCAAAGCAAUGGAUUACUGUCUCCCUAGCACCUGCGACAACGUCUGCCACAGACACAACCAACGUUGGGGUCAACCCAGGACUCACAGCCUGAGACGUCCGGCAGCCCAAUUCUCUUGCAUUCUGGAGGUCCCAGGUGACUCACUGUCGUCACUGAAAGCCUUGUGGUCAGUCCCCGCCUCGCUGCUACUCGCCACUGUCGCCGCUGCGCUGCUGGAUGCGCUGGCGGCUCCUGCUCCAGCUACUGAUUUUCUGGCCACCUCCGCUGCCCGUGAGGCUAGAAUACAGCAUUGUCCCCUGACCCGAGUGAUUAUUAGAAUUCCAUUUUAAGCUCAUCAAAGUAGGCAUGCACUUUCAGAUUCAGACACGUUUUCUUUUCAAGGAAGGUGGAGCAAGUUCCCCAGGGAGAGGCCUGAGGAUGCCGCCCCCUGCUGAAGGCCGAGCUCGCCCUCGCUGUACAGCUGGGCCAGAUGUGUCCUUUGACUACCUGCCACUCCAGCGCCGGGCCCACCUCCCAGAGCCGGCGCAGGCUUUGGUUCAGGAGAGUCGGCUCCUGUUCCGGCAGUACUGCUUGGGCCUCCUCCUCUGCUUUCCAGCCAACACUCCGGUCUCUGCUGUCCCUCUGCCACAUGAAUCCCUGCUGGCCCUCUGCCACAUGAAUCCCUGCUGGCCCUUCAGCUUUAUGCCAUGCCCCCAAAGCCUGCCCUGACCCUCACAUCAGGUUAAUCGCCCUUUCUAUGCACUGGUAGGGUCUGAAGAGUACAGGGCUGUGCCUGUCCUGUUCAUUGUCACAUCCCCAAUGUCACCUUGUGCUGAGCACAUUGAAGUGACUGGAUAAAAACUGUUUUAAAGAGU